rnacentral:rRNA from 1 species
CUAUCAUGCAGUCGAGCGAUGGAUUAAGAGCUUGCUCUUAUGAAGUUAGCGGCGGACGGGUGAGUAACACGUGGGUAACCUACCCAUAAGACUGGGAUAACUCCGGGAAACCGGGGCUAAUACCGGAUAAUAUUUUGAACUGCAUAGUUCGAAAUUGAAAGGCGGCUUCGGCUGUCACUUAUGGAUGGACCCGCGUCGCAUUAGCUAGUUGGUGAGGUAACGGCUCACCAAGGCGACGAUGCGUAGCCGACCUGAGAGGGUGAUCGGCCACACUGGGACUGAGACACGGCCCAGACUCCUACGGGAGGCAGCAGUAGGGAAUCUUCCGCAAUGGACAAAAGUCUGACGGAACAACGCCGCGUGAGUGAUGAAGGCUUUCGGGUCGUAAAACUCUGUUGUU